rnacentral:rRNA from 1 species
AGCGAACGCUGGCGGCAGGCUUAACACAUGCAAGUCGAGCGGGCGUAGCAAUACGUCAGCGGCAGACGGGUGAGUAACGCGUGGGAACGUACCUUUUGGUUCGGAACAACACAGGGAAACUUGUGCUAAUACCGGAUAAGCCCUUACGGGGAAAGAUUUAUCGCCGAAAGAUCGGCCCGCGUCUGAUUAGCUAGUUGGUGAGGUAAUGGCUCACCAAGGCGACGAUCAGUAGCUGGCUGAGAGGAUGAUCAGCCACAUUGGGACUGAGACACGGCCCAAACUCCUACGGGAGGCAGCAGUGGGGAAUAUUGGACAAUGGGCGCAAGCCUGAUCCAGCCAUGCCGCGUGAGUGAUGAAGCCCUAGGGUUGUAAAGCUCUUUGUGCGGGAAGAUAAUGACGGUACCGCAAGAAUAAGCCCCGGCUAACUUCGUGCCAGCAGCCGCAGUAAU